GAUUCGAACGUUAUCACUCGAUUGAAUGGGGCGUUAUCAGCAGUUAUCAGCCCAUAGAAAUGGGCCAGGAGGGGCCUCCUGCACCUACUAGUAGGCUCAGAAGGCCGUGAUCAUCCAUCCAAAUGGUUGAUCACCCACAAAUAUACAAGAGAAGACUCCAGAUCCAAUCCCAGAAUUCCUGCUCACCGGUAAUCGGAAGUCUACCGGACGAAUGCGGGAACGUUGCGAUAUUUCCUGCUUAAUAUUUUCAGAUAUGGGAAAAGCACUUAAGAUGAGCACACGUUUCAGGAACGUUAAAAUUAAGUUGGUGAGGAGGUCUAUGGUGGGCCCUGCAAGUUUUCUUACCUCAGUCAAGGUCUUCCCCAGCCCAGCUACAAUCAGACCCACCCUUCAGACCCUUCUAUUACAUCUCAACCUGCUGAACCUGAUGAUGCGACACAAGCUGUUCUGAGAGUGCAUACAGUAAGGCAAAGAAGAGAGAGCUUCAUGCCUGGGAUGCAGUCUAGGAUGAGAUGCUUAAGGUGUCGUUUGAAUGUUCAGCACCGAUCACUACCCAGUGUGCUGUCUGCCGAGAACAUGCUGAUUAUAAGUGCAUUGAGUGCAGCUCCACUGCAGUGUUCUGUGAGGUUUGCCUGAAGAGGAUUCACAGAAAUUCACUGCAUCUUCCUGAAAAGUGGACUAGUGUUUACUAUGAGCCAUCCUCCCUGGGGUUAUUCUUAUAUUUACCUGAAGCCCAUGGCACCCAUGCUGUGUACACAAAGGACAUGAAGGUCAUUGUCAGCACAGGACGGCUCUGCACCGUUACAGUCAACAUGUGUGCGUGUGAACCAGAAACCUGUACUCUGCUAAGAUAUGGGCUCUGAUUAGACAGCCUUCUCCAUCCCUCUGCUAGAGCUUUCUGUUUCUCUGUCACUGGAGUGUCAGGUUUCUGUUGAGGGUUUUUCGCAACACCCCAUAUCCCAUUUUAGGCAUCACCACUUCCGACAAAGAAGUUUGGUUGAUAUUUGCCCACAAUUAAAUGAUGGCACCAUAUGCCCAGCAUGUCCAAAGGCGGAUGGAGAUAUGAUUGUCACAUUGGAUGCCAACUUUGGCCUUGUGAGGAAUCAAAGCUCUGGGACAAGUGCGGUUGAUCCAUUACACGGAACCCGCAUGCUUAGAGGAAUACCUGCUAUCACAUCUUGACAGCUCAAAGCCUCGAGGUGAAAACUUGUGAAAAAAGAUCACUACUCCUCUCAUAAAUCUAUGUUUUCCUUAAAUAUUUAGGACUGCAGUAAGCUGCUCUCAUUCAAGGUAUUAUAAUAUAAUAUAAUAUAAUUACUUUACUGCGUUACUUGUGCAGACAUGUUGUUUUACUAGGUCUGAUCUAUUUUAAAGCUUAGGCACUGUAUUUAAGCAUACAUAUCCCCACUAGUCUGUCUGUAUGAGUACAAAAUGAAAAAAUAAACUGUCUAUAAUUGUUACUGUACAAGCACAGUAAAAUAUUUAUAUAAAAAAUAUUGCACUACUGUUAUUUUGCAUAGAAUACAUUGUUCAACAAUAUUUUUGCACACUCAUCCAACUGCAUUUAUUACCACUGUUCUCACGUUCCUGCUCUUCAUAAUGUUUAUAUAAUCCUUCAUUGCUCUGUUCAUAAUGUACAUACAAUCCCUACAUUGCAUUCAUAUUUAUAUUCUGUAUAUACUCUGAUCAAUAUUGUAUAUAGCAACUACACUGUACUUUCUGUAUAUCAUAGCUUUACUUACUCUGCACUUUUAUGUAUAUAAAACACUAUAUUCUUGCACUUCUGGUUAGAUGCUAACUGCAUUUCAUUAGCUCUGUACUUGUACUCUGCAUAAUGACAAUAAAGUUGAAUCUAAUCUAAUCUAAAAAAAAAAAAAAAUGUGUUUACCAUAAUGUAAUAUGUUAUUUACUGUAAUGUACAAAUGUGUGGGAGGUGUUUUGUUUUUUGUGAGCUCACCAUCAAAAUCCCCUUCGACUGAGUUGAAAUGAAAAUAAAUUAUUGGAUCUUGAAUCCUCUGAAGCAA